UGCUGGGUGACUUAAGUCAAAAUAAAACAUUUAAAAUGGCAAUAAUGUGAAUACUAACGAUGCAAUUAAAAAACAUCAUAAUUGCCAUCCCACAUUGAAAUUCAUCGCACGUGAGAGAGUUUUCAUCGUUUUGAUCGCAUUUGUUCUUGUUUGAGUUUGGAGUCGAAAACGAGAUGUAACGAUGCGCGCCAUCGAUAAAGGAUAAACUAAUGACGUUCGGCGUGUGUCUUUCCUGUGUGUAUCUAAUCGCCUCGCAGGCCGAAAUCGAAUUUGACAUCUUGGCGAUGUGGCAAGAUCGCGUCCAAAACUCGAAACGCGCCUAAUCGAUAUUCAAAUCGCCGAAUUAUCCGGCGUCUAAUGGCUAAUGGCUAAUGGGCUCGGGAGGUGCAGACCAGGAAAAAAAACUCGAUUGUGAAAAAGGCGGAGAACGGAUGGAUGAUGAUGAUUUCGACACUUGCGACACACACAGCCAAACAACCACAUUGCAAGUUAUGCAAUCGUCAAAAUGUCAAAAACGAAAACAAACAUUGGAAAUAAAGUUAAUUGAAUUAUUGCAUU